rnacentral:misc_RNA from 1 species
AACGCACCUUGCACCCUUUGGUAUUCCGAAGGGUACACCCGUUUGAGUGUCAUUGUAAUCUCACCCAAAGGAUUUAUUCUUUGGUGUGGACUUGGACGUUGCCGUGUUCGGCUCGUCUGGAAUGUCUCAGUGUGACCCGCUCGUCGGCGUAUACAGUGUGAUAGGUAUCUUCACUGGUAAGCUUCUUCGGAGGCACGCUCUCAGGUGGAUGUUGUGCUGCCAACCGUCUUUUAGACAAACUCUGACAAUUUGACCUCAAAUCGGGUGGGAUUACCCGCUGAACUUAA